rnacentral:rRNA from 1 species
ACUUGCCUACGGGGGGCAGCAGUGGGGAAUAUUGGGCAAUGGGCGCAAGCCUGACCCAGCAACGCCGCGUGAAGAAAGAAGGCCCUCGGGGUGUAAACUUCUUUUGUCAGGGACAAAGCAAGUGACGGUACCUGACGAAUAAGCCACGACUAACUACGAGCCAGCAGCUGCGGUAAUACGUAGGUGGCAAGCGUUAUCCGGAUUUACUGGGUGUAAAGGGCGUGUAGGCGGGGAAGCAAGUCA